UUGACCUCGAUCAGUA
rnacentral:rRNA from 1 species